rnacentral:rRNA from 1 species
CGGACGGGUGAGUAACGCGUGGAUAACCUGCCGUAUACAGGGGGAUAACACUUAGAAAUAGGUGCUAAUACCGCAUAAGCGCACGGUUCCGCAUGGAACAGUGUGAAAAACUCCGGUGGUAUACGAUGGAUCCGCGUCUGAUUAGCCAGUUGGUGGGGUAACGGCUCACCAAGGCGACGAUCAGUAGCCGGACUGAGAGGUUGGCCGGCCACAUUGGGACUGAGAUACGGCCCAGACUCCUACGGAAGGCAGCAG